UACAGAGGGGGCAAGCGUUAUUCGGAAUUAUUGGGCGUAAAGGGCGCGUAGGCGGCCUGACAAGUGGAAGGUGAAAUCCCUCGGCUUAACCGAGGAACUGCCCUCCAAACUGUUUGGCUUGAGUCCGGGAGAGGUGAGUGGAAUUCCCAGUGUAGCGGUGAAAUGCGUAGAUAUUGGGAGGAACACCAGUGGCGAAGGCGGCUCACUGGACCGGAACUGACGCUGAUGCGCGAAAGCGUGGGGAGCAAACGGG
rnacentral:rRNA from 1 species